CGCCGCACAGACAUCGCUCCUCUUCCCAGAAUGUCAUCUUCAGGCUGCUUUUCAGAACCUGUAUUUCAGUGGAACAUGAGGUAAGCCAGAUGCCGUCCUGAAUUGCCUCGAAGGGAGCCAGCGUCGGCAGUGGAGAGCAAGACAAAAAAAACUCCAUUUCAGGUUUUUGGCAGUUGGCUAGAAAAAUAUGCUGGGUAAUUUUAAUUUUUGGGGUGUGUGUGUGUGUGUGUGUGUGUGUGUGUGAAAAGAAAGAAUAGAAGGGGUUUUACAUUUUAUCUCAUGCAAACAUUAUGCUCACCCAUACCCUUCCUUUAUUCACACACCUUGAAAUUUGGGGGAUUCUCAGCUAAGCUGAGAGAGUUUCACAAUUGCGGCGGCAUGAUUUAGGAAAGUUUGGUUCUGCCUACAAAAUUGCUUCCGGAGGUGGAGAAGUGUCAGAUAUGUCUAAUUUCUUCUUAUCUUUUCUCGAGACGCCAAGGAUACCCUUGAGGAAUGAGAAGUCUCAGAUCUGGAUGAGGGAGUUUUUUCUCUGCACAGACCACUGUUUGUGAUUUAGAAAAGAGAUCUGUCCUAUCUAUCUAUCUUUCUCUAUAUUCUGGCGUGUAUCAUUUCAUCCACUUCGGGCCAGCAUGCCGUAGACGUGGGGAGGGAGAUAAAGCCUUAAGGAGGACGGAAGCUUUGUGGAUUACUGUUUUCGAUAGCCUUUCUCCCAGAGGUCUUAAUGAGUAACUAGACCUCAAAUGAUACAAAUUACCCCGUUCUCUUUCCUGACCUUCUAACAUCACACAUGUGCACGCACGCACGCACGCGCACAUUACGCUUCUUGAGAAAGGCUCUCUCUCCAUCUCAGUGUAGGGUUUGUGAAGGAAGAUCACUAACACUCUUGAUACCCUACUCUCUUCACGAUGAUAAGUCUUUCUUGAGUGGCUUUCGGCUGAAACCAUAAGUCAUAUCACAAACUCUUAGUCAAGCCCCAUGUUUGGAGUCAAAAAAUUUUAUUUUAGGAAUUUAUUUCCCAGCUAUAAUAAUGGCACGUGUACAAUGACAUUCAAUGCAACAUUUUUGCAAAUAAUCACAAAAGACUAGGAAAACCCUAAAGGCCCAUCGGUAGGGCACCUGAUAGUACAUCUAUACAAAGAACACUAUGUAAAUGUGAAGAAGUGUGAAUUAGCUCCAUAUGUGGAGACAUAGGCUAACUUUCAAGACACAUCAAGGGUAAAAAUCAAGGUGUUGAAUAACGUGUGUGAUGUGUUACCAUAUGUGUAAACAUAGAAAGCAUAUGUAUGCUUAUCUAUACGUAGACUAUGUCUCAAGCAUAAAUAAGAAGCACUUAACAGUGGUUAUCUCUGGGAACGGGGGCCAAGUGAUCAGAUACACAAAUUUUACUAUGUAUUGUUUUGCAUUAUUUUCAUUUUUUCUGCUACUGUGUGCAUACACCACGUUUUCAAAAGUGUGAAAAAUAAAUGAACAAACUUAUUUCUCACUAAGCUCUGAAGUUGUGUACUGGAUAUUUAAUUCAAAGUUCUUAUUUGAAAAAUGUAUUUAUUUAAAUUCAAGUUAGUUAACAUAUGGUGCAGUAUUGGUUUCAGGAGUAGAACCCAGUGAUUCAUCCCUUACAUGUGACACCCAGUGGUCAUCCCAGCAAACGCCCUCCUUAAAGCCCAUCACCCAUUUAGCCCAUCCUUCCCAUUCCCCUCUAGCAACCCUCAAUUUGUUCUCUGCAUUUAAGAAUUGCUUAAGGUUUGCCUCUCUUUUUGUUUUUAUCUUAUUUUUCCUUCCCUUCCUCUAUGUUCAUCUGUUUUUUUCUUAUAUUCCACAUAUGAGUGAAAUCAUUUAUUUGUCUUUCUCUGCCUGACUUAUUUCGCUUAGCAUAAUAUGCUAUAGUUCCAUCCACAUUGUUGCAAAUGGCAAGAUUUUAUUCUUUUUGACUGCUCAGUAAUAUUCCAGAGAGUGUGUGUGUGUGUGUGUGUGUGUGUGUGUCUCCUCUUCUUUAUCCAUUCAUCAGUCGAUGGACAUUUGGAUUCUUUCCGUAAUUUGGCUAUUGUUGAUAGUGCUGCUGUAAACAUUGGGUACAUGUGCCCCUACAAAUCAGCACUCUUAUAACCUUUGGAUAAAUUCCUAGUAGUGCUAUUGCUAGGUCAUAGGGUAAUUCUAUUUUUAAUUUUUUGAGGAAUCUCCACACUGUUUUCCAGAGUGGCUGCACCAGUUUGCAUUCCCACCAACGGUGCAAGAGGGUUCCCCUUUCUCCACAUCGUCACCAAUGUCUGUUGUUUCCUGAGUUGUUAAUUUUAGCCACUUUGACCGAUGUGAGGUGGUAUCUUAAUGUGGUUUUCAUUUGUAUUUCCCUGAUGAUGAGCAAUACUGAGCAUCUUUUCAAGUGUCAUCUGGAUGUCUUCUUUGGAAAAGUGUCUAUUCAUGUCUUCUGCCCAUUUCUUCACUGGAUUAUUUGUAUUUUGGGUGUUGAGUUUGGAUAAGUUCUUUAUAGAUUUUGAAUACUAACCCUUUAUCUGAUAUGCCAUUUGCAAAUAUCUUCUCCCAUUCCGUUGGUUGCCUUGUAGUUUUGGUAAUUGUUUCCUUAGCUGUGCAGAAGCUUUUUACCUUGAUGAGGUCCUAACAGUUCACGUUCACUUUUGUUUCCCUUGCCUCCAGAGACUUGUCUAGUAAGAAGUUGCUGCAGCCAAGGUCAAAGAGAUUGCUGCCUGUUUUCUCUAGGAUUUUGAUGGCUUACUAUUUCUCAUUUAGGUCUUUCAUCCAUUUUGAGUUGAUUUUUGUGUAUGGUGUAAGAAAGCGGUCCAAGUUCACUCUUCUACAUGUCGCUGUCCAGUUUUCCCAGUACCAUUUGCUAAAGAGAAUGUCUUUUUUCCAUUGGAUAUUCUUUCCUGCUUUGUCGAAGAUUAGCUGGCCAUACAUUUGUCGGUCCAUUUCUGGGUUCUCUAUUCUGUUGCACUGACCUAUGUGUCUGUUUUUGUGCCAGUACCAUGCUGUCUUGAUGAUUACAGGUUUAUAAUACAGCCUGAAGUCCAGAAUUGUGAUGCCUCCAGUUUUUUUUUUUUUGGGGGGGGGGGGUUCAACAUUACUUUGGCUAUUCAGGGUUUUUUCUGGUUCCAUACAAAUUUUAGAAUUAUUUGUUCUAGCUUUGUGAAAAAUGUUGGUGUUCUUUUGUUUUAAGCUGAGUGUGAUUUCGCGCACAUCUACUUUGACUAUUAUUACAGAUUAGUAACUUGAUUCGUUAAAUGUAACUGUCUAGUGACUAGUUAGAAAAUACAAGUCAAUGUAGUCAAAAGAUCUGUUAUGACUGUAAAUGAUGAAGAUCUUUUUCUUCCACAGUCACAAAUCAACUCAGAAUAAUUGUUGCUCAGCAUGAAUGAAAUAAGAUUGCUUUUAAGAACUUAAUUGCCAUAAUUCUGCAAUAGCAUUUGAGUCCCCAGUCCCUUGUAUUGCACUUUGAAAGCAUUUUGAUGCUUUCAAUUUGCAUUCAUUCUUGUAUAUACAUAUUCACAUGACUCCAUUUAUAAUAAAUAAUAGGAGAAACUGGUAAAGAUUUUUUAUGGGAUCCAAGAAUGUACUUGAAAUGUUCACUUACCUUCACAUCAGAAUGCUGUCUCUCUCCAUUCUCUUCUCUAUAGACAGUGUGUCAAAGAAAUACACGGAGAGAGGAAAUUUUUGCCUAUAGACUUCAUAAGAUAUCAAAAGUUUGAUAUUGCCCUUGAAUGAAAGCACAUUGAGCUUUAUUAUUUAUUUAUUUAUUUAUUAUUUAUUUAUUUAUUUAUUUAUUUAUUUAUUUAUUAUUGCAGUAUAGCUGAUAUAUAAUUUAUAUUAGUUUCAGAUGUGUGACAUAAUUACUCCAUAAUUCUGUACAUUACUCAAUGUUUACUACGUUAGAUAUAGUCAAGCUUUAAAUCAGAGGUAAGCUUGCUUUCUGUGAGGAAUUCGGAGUCAGAAAAUCUGAGUUUCUGUCAAAUUGGCCUCCCACCUCUCCCAGUCUCAAUACAACAGAAAAAGAAUGUGAUAGUACUCAUCAUGUGAGGCUAUUCGGAAGACCAAAUGAGCUAUGAGGUAAUGAAAGCUCACUUGGAAACUGUAAUGCUCAGUUAGUUAUUAUUGUUAGAUAUCACACUCAUUUGAAGUAAAAAUCAAGCAGACUUUGUUUCAAAGUUCUUUAUUGACUCAGUUUUCUGAACAAUGGUUACGAUAAAAGAUAUCAGCAACUUCAAGUUAAUUUGAGUGUCUGCCAUUGACAAGGGCAGCUUCCCCUAAGACCAGAAUUGUGGCAGCAUCCAAUCAGAAGGAGCCUAAAAUGAAACAUGAGGGGCGCCUGUGUGGGUCAGUUGGUUAAGUGUCUGACUUCGGCUCAGGUCGCGAUCUCAUGGUUCUUCAGUUCAAGCCCUGCAUCAGGCUCUGCACUGUCAGUGUUUCUCUCUCCCUCUCUUUCUGCCCCUCCCCCCUCAGAAGAAAGAAAUAAAUUAAAAAAUAAAAUAAAAUAAAAUGAAACACAAGGCACCCGUGUUUAAAGUAGAUGAUUCUUAGAUAACUGGACUGAGCCCAUUCUUGUGGGUUUAUGUAUGCACAAGAGCAGAAUCCUAAAAAGCACAAAUGUGUUUCAUGAGGUGACAAUUUUAUGUUCAUAUAAUCUUAAAUUCAUGCAAAGAAUUUUCAUUUAGACUCUUUGAGUAAGAUACAAGUAGGGUCUCUCAAACAUGUUUCUUGUCUCAGAAAAAAGACAUGAGUUUUGACCUACUAAAUACUACUCUUUCAUUUCACUUGUUUCGAAUGCAUUUUAUUUGAUAAACUAAUUAUUUUUCUGGAUUUCUCUUCACUGAUAUACAGUAUUUUCUACUAAGAAUUCAAAUUUAAAUAUAGCAGAUUUAUGUAUGUAUCUAUGUAUUUAUUUAUUUAUUUACUUACUUACUUAUUUAUUUAUUUAAGUCAUCUCUAUACCCAACAUGGGGGUUGAACUCCCAACCCUGAGAUCUACAGUCAUGUGCCUUUCUGAUUGAGCCAGCCAGGCACCCUUAAAUAUAGCAGUUUUAGGUUAAAAGACAAGUUGUACUGUAUUAUACCUCAUCUUUCAGAACAAUAGGGUUUUUUUUAAAUGUUUAUUUAUUAUUGAGAUAGACAGAGACAGAAUGGGAGUGGGUUAGGGCAGAGAGAGAGGGAGGCGCAGAAUCUGAAGCAGGCUCAGCAGGCUCCAGGCUCCUAGCUGUCAGCACAGAGCCUGACGCAGGGCUCGAACUCACAAGCUGUGAGAUCAUGACCUGAGCCGAAGUCGGACACUCAACCGACUGAGCCACCCAGGCGCCCAGAACAAUAGGUUUUUUUUUAAAACAGUUUUCAAACAUAUGUUUUUAAAGUGGCAGAACACUUUUUUCAAAGGAAAUAGUAGACGGAUAUCUACAAUGUUAAAAAAACGCGGGGAGGGGGGACAAAGUGGAAUAGAGUGAGAGACAGAGAGUGUGUAUGUAUGUGUUAAGGAUAUGGAGUCCAACUUACUGAACUGCACCUUCUCCAAUGCUCUCUUGUGACAAUUUCCAUUAGUGGUUAGUGAAAUCUAAUGAGUGUUCUCACAAUGUGGGAUGCUUAUGCUGAAGCUGACCUAUAACAAUGAGUUAGAUCCAUGUUCGCCUCUGUAUUUUGCACAGAUAUAUAUACACAUAUAUAUAUGUAUAUAUAUACAUAUAUAUACACAUAUAUAUAUACAUAUAUAUACAUAUAUAUAUACACACACACACAUAUAUACGUAUAUAUAUACGUAUAUAUGUGUGUGUGUGUGUGUGUGUGUAUAUAUAUAUAUAUAUAUAUAUAUAUAUAUAUAAAGAGCAGAGUGGAAGUUCAGGGGACAGAAAUGACUCCCUUAGGAUUUCUUUUACAGCUAUCUGGUUAUUAUGAGUCAUGCCAAGAUUACAGUUUGGGGAUGGGGCGCCUGGGUGGCUCAGUCGGUUAAGCAUCCAACUUCAGCUCAGGUCAUGGUCUUGCGGUUUGUGAGUUUGAGCCCCGUGUAGGGCUCUGUGCUGACAGCUCAGAGCCUGGAGCCUGCUUCGGAUUCUGCAUCUCCCCAUCUCUUGGCCUCUCCCCUGCUCAUGCUCUGUGUCUCUCUGUCUCUCAAUAAUAAAUAAACGUUAAAAAAUUAAAAAAAAAAGAUAACAGUUUGGGAUUUGAAGGCAUUUAUAAUAGGAACUAUGAUAAGAGAACUUGCAGUGACUGGGUUGAGAGACAUGCUCAUGGCAAAAAAGCAGAUUGGUAAAGAAGUUGAUUUCUGAACUUCUGUGUACAGAAGUGAAGUGAAAGUCACUCCGAGAAAAGCACCAUGAUAUGUUCAGUGUCUUCUGUAGCUAACAAUCUACUUUGUGUUGUGUAUUUCAAUUUUUAUCUAUAUGUGAUUGUACAGUGACAUUUUCUUUACUCACCAUAAGUCAUCCAACUCCUCACCUUGGCAUAAGUUAAUAGAACCAAUAGCUAUUUAUCCUAAAAUGUAUAUUAGAUUGAGAUUUUUGUGGCCAUGCUCUUCUGCUCAAAUAAAUUCAAAUGUGGAUGGAAUGAAAGGCAAUUUACAUAUGGCCUUGUUAGCCUCUGAUAUCUAAGAAAUGCAUUGAAAUAUUUAUUUCUCAAAGAGAAAUCAAGACAGAUACUGAAAGCCUUUCCCAUUUGUUAAAGGAAAAACAGAGUUCACUGUGUAACUCUACUGAUACAAGACCAUAUAUGUCUCUUGGCAUAUUUAAUAUGAAGAAGAAAAGAUCAAGCGGCAACUUUUAUUUAACUGAGACUAGGAAGUCUGUUUCAUCCUAGGAAGACUUCAUGGAGAGCUCAGUUCAAAACUCUUCACUUACAGGGCACCUGGGUGGCUCAGUCGGUUAAGCAUCUGACUUGGCUCUAGUCAUGAUCUCAUACUUCGUGAGUUCAAGCCUGAGAUUCUCUCUCAAUCUAUCUCUCUUCUCCUCCCCCACUUGAGCUUUCUCUUGUCUUAAAAUAAAUAAAUAAACUUAAAAAAAAACGCUUACUAGUUAUAUCUUCAUUGAAAUCAUCCUGGUCUUCUCAUAUCCUUAACACUUUUGUAUCUAAUUAUAUUUCACAUCUUUUCUCUUUUGCUUUUGCUAAUGUGUGGUUUCAAAAUUUUAAGGUGUCUAACAUGUGCAUAUUUUGUCUCUACAACUAGGCUAUAAAUUUCGUGAGGGCAGACUUCUUCAGAGUCCUCAAAGAAUACUGAUUUCAGGCUUCUGUACCAGAUGAUCUAUGCGGGAAAUGUGUGUUUAUUGCCACUUGGUAUAUUUUUACUCCUUAACAUGUUGAAUACUCUCUCCAACUUAGUUGAUUUACACUCAAGGAAAACAAACUGAUUUACUAGUCUGAAUAAGCAACAUUCAAUAGGACACUAAAUAGGAAGCAAAAUUAUGUGUAAAACUAAUAAAAAUUGCACAUUGAGAAAAAAAAAAAAAAAAAGUGGUUUUUGCCUUAUCCAUCAUCUGAGGUCCUUAAACAGAAAAUAUUAUGGUCUGAUUAAAAUUAUGUAUCUUGUGAGGAAGCAAAAUUUCUUUUUUUUUUGGUUCAACCAGGGAAGCAAUGUUUCUAAAUAGGUUCCAAACACCCAUGACUUCAGACAUGUUAAAUGGUCUUGCAUCAUAAGAGAAAUUGUUAUACCUCUAUGCAUUUUUUAAAUGUUUGCUUGUUUGUUUCGAGAGUGAGUGUGUGAGUAGGGGAGGAGUAGAGAGAGAGUGCCAGAGAGAGAAUCCCAACCAGGCUCCAUGCUCUCAGCACAGAGCCCAACACAGGGCUUGAUCCCACAAAACAUGAAAAAUCAAGAAUCAGAUGAUUAACCGACUGAGCCACCCAGGUGUCCCUGCUUUUUAAUAAAGGACGUUAAAUUAUUCUUUUCUUUUUAUUCUGGUAGAUUCGGAGGGUUUUUAGGUGGCUAGGUUUGUUGUUUUUUUUUUUUUUUUUUUAUAAAAUAGGCAUUAUCUGGAUCGUUAUUUUAAAAUUUUUUUUUUCAACGUUUAUUUAUUUUUGGGACAGAGAGAGACAGAGCAUGAACGGGGGAGGGGCAGAGAGAGAGGGAGACACAGAAUCGGAAACAGGCUCCAGGCUCUGAGCCAUCAGCCCAGAGCCUGACGCGGGGCUCGAACUCAUGGACCACGAGAUCGUGACCUGGCUGAAGUCGGACGCUUAACCGACUGCGCCACCCAGGCGCCCCUGGAUCGUUAUUUUAAAUUUAUGUUUUUGAUAUUGUUACAUGUGGCCUUAAUAUAUAAGGAGGUUGUUCUGGGGUUUAAAACCAAGAAGAGGAAUUCUGCCUUCCGGUGUCGAAGUAGAUCAUGCAUUGUGGUCACCACCAGUCUUACUUAUCCUCCCUCUUACCAGUAGGCAUCCAUAAGGAUGUACAAUGUUCAGGAAAGUCAAAACUGAGUCGGGAUACUGUGCUACCCAGCUAAGUGACCAUGUAAACUCAGGCAAGUUUCUUAACUUCCUCAAUCCUCAAUUUCUUUAUCUACAAAAUGAGAAUAAUAGAGAUCAUAAGGAUUAAACAAGAUACUCAACGUCCAAUACUUAGUAAGGUUGCAGGCUCACGUUAGGUUCCUGAGAAAUGUCAGCUGUUUUGAUUAGCAGAUCCUCCUCUAAGUUGUAAUUUAACCUCCAGAAAGGAGAGUUCUUCUCUCCGACUCCAGGCCAUUUCUCUAGACACAGGUCAUGGAAAAUGUGCUUCACAGCAAGAGUGGCCAUAUUUGGUCAAGUCCCCUACUCUCUUUACCUUCAUGUAGGUGGGAGACCCCACACAAAGCUGCAAAUGAGUGUAAGCCAAAGUCAAGGUAGGAUCUUUGGAAAUACUUGCAAAAAAAGUAAAUCUUACAGUGGAUUGGGUUUGAAUAGCAACGGUAUUUAAUGGGAAGCUCAUUGUAAUGUGAUGCUUGGGUCCCAAGCCAUGGGGCUUUCUUGGAAGCUAGGGCAUUUUACACCAAGGGGCUUUGAUGCCUACUCCUCUUAGGUGGUGCCUGAAGUAUAUUUUCUUGCUUUAGAUGCUAUCUCUUCUCCGAUUUCUCUACUAAGAUCUCCACAAUACGUUCAGCUUGCUCCACACCUUCUUGGUCAUCUCCCAAUUCCAGAGAAGCUUCCAUUUGACUGGAAGGUGUGCCCAGUCCUUUCCCAGGGCAGCAAAUAAAACCAUGUGACCCGAAGCAAAUCAGUGGGGUUGAGAAACUCUCUAGCACUACAUCUUUUAUUGACAACCCAGAUCAUUGACAUGGUGGUCCCACAGUCCAUCAGUGUGCAGAUCCAACUACCAAGAAAUAAAAAAUGUUAAGUGAUUUAGAGCAGUACAGAGAAAGAACCUAAAAAUGGAGCCCAGUGUUUCUCGAUCCUCCUGUCCUCCUAAGCUGUUGUUCUUUAGCCUUAAAUUCAACACUAAAUUUCAGGUAUCAAAAAAGUCUUUCUUUGUUGCUUGGGUUGCCUCUCAUCUUCUUCAUAAAAGUUAAAUAUUAUUUUAUUUCUGAAAAUUAAAGUCCAAAGGAGGAAUAAUUUAUUUAAAAAUUAAAAACCUGCCACAUAGAAAUAACAACUGUUGACUUAGUGACAUACUUUCUAUCUGUAUUAUUUGGUAAGAAAAAAAGCCACUCGUUUUAUAAAAAAAGAAACAUACAUACAGAAAAGAAGCAGACAUCGAAGAAUAAUACUAAAUAUUUAAAAAUCACCUCAAAUUCAAUCAUUCCCAAAUAAUAUUGUUAACAUUACAUUAGAUGAAUAUAUUUUCAGAUAUCUAUGUAUACACACACAUGGAGAGACAGACAGACAGAAAAAUGCUUUUAUAAAAUGGGGACCAUAAUCUAGAACUUAUUUUUAAUAAAACAAAAAAAAUACAUGAGACUUUCCUUUAAUUUAUGAAGGAAAAAAAAGAAACUUUAGGCAUUGGUGAAUUUUAACUAAACAUUUUUCACAGUACGAUUCGUGUUUUCCAAAAGAUAUCUCUAAAUUUAAGAAAACAGAUUAUGAUGAACUUUGAAUUGGAGUUAUAUAUGUUUCAAUAUGAGAUAUAUCAAUUCAGCUUUUCCAUGAAAUAUGCUUUAUUUUCACAUUUUAAUGUUUGUUAUUAUUUGUACAAUACCCAUGUUUAUAAUACUGAGAUUCUGAUCUUUAAAAAUGUAUUAUACUUUGGGGAGCCUGAGUGAUUCAGUUGGUUAAGCAUCCAAUUCUUGGUUUCAGCUCAGGUCAUGAUCUCAUAGUUCAUGGAUGUGAGCCCUGCAUCAGGCUCUGUGCUGACAGUGUAGAGCCUGCUUGAAAUUCUCUCUCUCUGCUCCUCCCCCACUUUCACACAGACUGUGCUCUCUCUCUUUCUCUCAAAAAUAAAUAAAUAAACAUUAAAAAAAUAAAAAUGUCGGGGCGCCUGGGUGGCGCAGUCGGUUAAGCGUCCGACUUCAGCCAGGUCAGGAUCUCGCGGUCCGGGAGUUCGAGCCCCGCAUCAGGCUCUGGGCUGAUGGCUCAGAGCCUGGAGCCUGUUUCCGAUUCUGUGUCUCCCUCUCUCUCUGCCCCUCCCCCGUUCAUGCUCUGUCUCUCUCUGUCCCAAAAAUAAAUAAAAACGUUGAAAAAAAAAAAUUAAAAAAAAAAUAAAAUAAAAAUGUAUCAUACUAACUCAUUUAAUACAUUUAAAUGAAUAUGAUUGUCAUGGCUGGCUAUUUUUAACCGCUUCUCCAUCCUAAGUUAUGAAUUUUGAUUAACCUCAGGAUAAGAUGAAUUUUAUUGUCAAGUAGUUUUUUCAAGAAAGGUGUAUGCAUGCUCAGUUUCUGAGGGUUUUUUUUUGGUUGUUUGUUUUUAAUUUGAGAAUAUCUGCCUGUAGCUUUCCUACAAGAACAACGUUUGCCUCAUUGGAUAUGAUUUUCUUGGAUCACAUUUUCUUUCCUCCAGAAUUCUGAUCUUCACAUGAGGAUUUGUAUAACCACCACCACAGCUGACAUGGAGAACUGUGCCAUUGCUACACAGACCUCCUUUGUGCCACUGCUUUAUAGUCCCACCCACUUUCCUUCUUCACCACCAUCCCUAACCCCUGGCAACCACUGAUAUGUUCUCCAUUUCUACAAUUUUGUCAUGUGGAGAGUGUUAUAUAUGUGGAAUCAUGCAGUAUGUGUGCUUUGAGACUUUAUUCUGCUCAGUAUAAUGCCUUUGAUGUGUUCUGUCUGUAUUGUGUGGUAGGCAUUCACUAAUUUCCCGCCUUCUCCUUCUAUUAAGAGCACAUAAAUUUCCCUUUGGAGGACCUUCCUCAAUUCCCAGUCCAUUCAUACCCACACCCCCAACCCCAGUCUCCUGGGUAGUCAUAUCACUAAAACCUGUUUCUAACUGGCUCUCAGUAUGAGGGGUAGAGCAGGCUUACAGACGGGUAUAUUCAUUAUAGUACACAAUGUUAAGUCUUCCCAUAGUGACAGUAUAGAGAAAGAGUGAAAAUAACAAAAUUCUGACAAGGAAUUUGGAAAGCCUUCUCAAAGGAAGAUAUAUUCAGGUUGAGUCUGGAAGGCUGAAUAAUAUUUUUCUAGCAGAGACAGUGGAGAGGGCAAUCAUAAAUCAACAUCCUUGCCAGUGGCAGAUUAAGAACAGAUACCCACAACUAUAUGUUGAAAGAAAAAUAUAUGAAGAUUAUGUGUACCAUUAAUUGAGAAUACACCUGCAGGUAAGAACUCAGAAAAAAAGAACCUAUGAACGAAGCAUUUAUUGCUAGUCAAUUUAAAAAGACAAUUAUUUAACUAAAAAUCUCUGCUUUAUCAAAGGCUAUUGAUGAGUGAAAUUGGGUUUAGAUUUGAAAAGCGUGUGCAAAUUUUAUGGAACAUACAUAAUUACAUUAAGAAGUUCAAAUGAUAACAAAGCUAUUUCUUUAAAACAUGAAGUGUUAUUUAAGCAAGGCAAAGUAUAAAGAGAAGGCUAAUUAAUGACUUUACCAACUUGUCUUUCUGACCUGUUUGGUCUUUGCACAUGUUCAGUCUACCACACUUCUUUCCUUCCACCAAUCUUGGUAUCUGAAUAGAAACUCUGUAGAGAGAGAUUACAACAAUCCCUUGGCAAAAUAGUAAUAGAAAUCUCUGAGCAUGUUAAUUGACAUUCUUCUAUUCAAUUGUUGAAGCAUGUCUUUGGAUUGACCCACUCACCAUUCAACCUCCUUUUUGCAUGCUUUUCUGUACUGCAGUAGCUGGAAAGUUAAAAACUACAUUUCCUACACUCCCUUGCAGCUGGGAACUCAGAUGUACUUUGGUUUCACCAAUCAGAUGUGUUUUCAACACAAAUAUAGAGCUGAGUUAAGAAGAAUUAACAGGGGCGCCUGGGUGGCGCAGUCGGUUAAGCGUCCGACUUCAGCCAGGUCACGAUCUCGCGGUCCGUGAGUUCGAGCCCCGCGUCAGGCUCUGGGCUGAUGGCUCAGAGCCUGGAGCCUGUUUCCGAUUCUGUGUCUCCCUCUCUCUCUGCCCCUCCCCCGUUCAUGCUCUGUCUCUGUCUCAAAAAUAAAUAAACGUUAAAAAAAAAAAAAAAUUUAAAAAAAAAAAAAAAAAAAAAAAAAAGAAGAAUUAACAGAAGGGCGCCUGGGUGGCUCAGUCGGUUAAGCAUUUGACUUUGGCUCAGGUCAUGAUCUCACGGUUCAUGGGUUCAAGUCCCACAUGGGGCUCUGUGCUGACAGCUCACAGCCUGGAACCUGCUUCAGAUUCUGUGUCUCCCUCUCUCUCUGCCCCUCCCCUUCUCAUUCUCUGCCUCUCAAAAAUGAAUAAACAUUAAAAAAAUAAAAAACAAAAAAGAAGAAUGAACAGGUCUGCUACUUUGGGCUGUUCCUAUAAACUCAGCCUAAAAUCUGUUUCUUUGGUGAUCCCAUCCAUUCCAUAAACCAUGCAGUACAAUGUAAUAAAUCCAUUUCUGCUUCAGUGAAUCAGAGUAGAUUUUGUUCUCUGUAACCGAACCCUGACUAAUAUUGUCACCUUUGGCCAAAGUUUCUGUAUUUGAUUUAAAAAAAAAAAAAAAAUAUAUAUAUAUAUAUAUAUAUAUAUAAAUCAUUCAUGUAUGGAAUUAUGUACUAAAACUAGUAUUUGGUGCUGAGCAUCUAAAGAUUUUAUUUUAUUAUUUUUUUAAGUCUAUUUAUUUGUUUUGAGGGAGAGAGAGAGCAUGCACACGCGAGAGGAAGAGAGAAAGGGAGAGAGAGGGAAUCCCAAGCAGGCUCUACACUGUCAGCAUAGAGCCCGAUGCGGGCUCAAAUCCAUGGAGCUGUGACAUCAAGACCUGAGCCAAAAUCAAGAGUUGGACACUCAACCGACUGAGCCACCCAGACAUCCCCAAAGUUUUUAUUUCAAAAUAAAACAUAUUGCUUUUUACUUUGUUCAAAAUGGAAAUCGUUUUGUAGCUUUGAAUCAGAUUUUAGAUGAACUUGUGUGCAUAAUAAAUGUUAGGUAAUAGUGAAAGGAAUAAGAAAGCAAAAGUUUAUUUACAAAUCUUUUAUCUGAAAUAAUCUCCAUUUUUUUUCUGUAUUUGGACCUAUAUAUAACAAACACAUUUCAUAAAAUCAAGAACAUAACAAGAAUACUGCUCUGUAAUACGCUUUUCAUGUGAUAUCUUGUGAACAUAUUUUCAUAUCAAAGCUGUAUCAUUGUUAUUAAAUUCUAAGUAGAGAUUGCAUAUACCUUCCGUGUAUUUUUAUAACCCACCCCCUAUUUGAAUAUUCAGGUUGUUUUACAUUUUCAGUUGUUGUAAACAAAGCCAAAAUGAACAUUUUUCAUUUCCUCUCUAUUUCUUUCUAUAAUGUAAAUAUGUAGGGGAGGAAUUUCUAAGUCCAUUGUAAAGAUCUUGGAUAUGUAUUACCAGGUUGCCCUCUAUAAAGAGUGUAUCAAUUUCCAAGGUCACUAGACACUAUGCUAGUGUCCCUUACUUUGCAUGUCACCAACAUUGGGUGCAAAUGGUCUGAUAAUCCGAUAGGGGAACACCAGGACCUCACUUUAUUUUAUUGCUUUUGUCCUCUCUUCUUUCUUCUCUUUAAAAAAUAAAAACCCAGCGGCGCCUGGGUGGCUCAGUCGGUUGAGUGUCUGACUUUGGCUCAGGUCAUGAUCUCACAGUUUGUGAGUUCGAGGCCCAUGUAGGGCUCUGUGCUGACGGCUCGGGGCCUGGAACCUGCUUCGGAUUCUAUGUCUCCCUCUCUCUCUCUGCCCCUCCCUGCUCAUGCUCUGUCUCUCAAAAAUAAAUAAACAUUAAAAAAAAAAACCCAAACCCCUAUUUUUUAAAUUUGUAUUUAUAUUUUUUCAUCUCCCUAAAAAUCACUAUUUUAUUAUCUGGGCUUCUGUAGUUCAGGAUUAUUAUCCAGACAUGUUCCUUACCAUGAUGGUAAGUGCAGAUAUGGGUUGAAAAGCUUCAAGUGUUUUUGAAAUAUUAUUGCUGAAGCUAAAGCUGAAUCAGACGGCAUAUUUCACAUGGCACUCGCUACGGGGACACUCUAGGAUGGAGAAGGGCCAGUGUCACCGCUUUCAACAUUCAGGCUUAUGGAGGGACAGCCCCCUGGCAAUCUGUAUAUGGUUCUGUGGCAUAAGCUUUCAGAGCUUAUUUGAUUGCUACCUCUGGAUACACGGAGUUUCUCUUCAAACAGCCACAGGACUCAUUGCUAUUAUUAAUCUGUCUCUGUUGCCAGAUUCAUAGCUUCAGAGUAAGAAAAUAUUAUCUGAGCAAAUAUUUAAGCAGAAUUCUCUACACUGUUAUGCUUCAUUAAAGAACAGUUUUCAUUCAGUUUGUUCUGGAGUAAAGUGAAAUGCUCCGAAUCAAUACACUCCCCGGUUUGCCCCAGUCUCUUUUCCCCCCACAGUAGGAAGACAAGGGCUUCUCAGGAAGAAGAGCUUUAUGAUGAUGAGCCCUUCUCUCUCAUUCAUGCCCUUCCACCAGAAUUUGGUCUGUGGUGGGAAAACCUUGUGCUGAAAUGGAUAAAAUAAAGGGUAUCUGUGUAUACCGUUGCUCAAAGUAGUGAAAUAUGACUGGCGUUCUUCUACUAACCGCCGGUGCAUGGGCUUUGAAUUGUCCCACUCAACACUCAACCUGCUCGUGUGCUUUCCUGUGUUGCAGAAGUUUUCAGGUAUUCGGUUGGACUGGAUGGAAUAAAAACACAUCAUCUGUAUAGUAUCCUAAAGUCGUAUGGUGUCAGGGUUCCCGUCCUAAGAUGUCGUAGGGUCUUCCCUACCCAUCUGCUUCAGCUGCCCCCUCUUUACUUCCCAGGUGAAUAUACAUGCCAUAGACAGCACCAGGGAAAAGUGACUAACUGUAAAAAUAAAAUAAAAUAAAUAAGCUAGAUAUAGAAAUUAUUGAUCUAGAUAAGUAGUGUUUGUACAACAAACUGGUGUGAUUUAUCACACACACACACACACACACACACACCUGGAAAGAUGUGUUCCUAAAAUUUCUUUUUUUUUUAAUUUUUUUUAACGUUUAUUUAUUUUUGAGACAGAGGGAGACAGAGCAUGAAUGGGGGGAGGGUCAGAGAGAGAGGGAGACACAGAAUCGGAAGCAGGCUCCAGGGUCGGAGCUGUCAGCACAGAGCCCGACGCGGGGCUCGAACUCACAGACCGCGAGAUCAUGACCUGAGUCGAAGUCGGCCGCUUAACUGACUGAGCCACCGUCGCCCCGUGUUCCUAAAAUUUCUAAUCACUAAUGUUUUUGGGGGUAUUGGCGAACUUGUCUUUUUGGUGUGGUUCACACUGGCAUAGGUGAUUUCAGGAAAUUUUUGUUUUCUCUUAAAAGCAGUUGUUUGCGGAGCGUGUCUUUCAGCCAGUGUUGUUCAUGUUGCUAACUACCCAUGCGUGUUAUUGUUGAUGAUAACCUUAUGGGUAAGAGAAAUGCCAAUGACCUUAUGGAGGAAGGGUGAACUUCUCAAACUCCUAUUUGGUUCGGCUCAGGUCAGGAAGGGGAGCCAAUAAGCCAGAGUUCUUUUGUUUGUUUGUUUCAAGUUUUUAUUUCAGUUCUAGUUCAGAUUCCUUUUCUCUUAAGAGCUUCUUCCCUUGCAUGCCUAUAUCCAUGCCAUCUGAAAAAUGACUGGUCCUAGCUCAUCCCUCCUAAUUCUAUAUUAAAGCUUUGUGGAAUAAAGGCCAUGGAGUCUACACCAUCAGUGUCUCCAGGCAGACGAUUCAGUUCUAUUAUUUUGUGACUUCAAAAAAGUUGUGGCAGGUUUGUGUAACGGUUUGCUUGAGAAGCUGCUGGAGUUGGUUUGUAUGGAUGUUUUUUCAACACACACAAUGAAAGAAAACCACAAUUUAUUGUUUUGGAUCACAAAGUUGUACUCAGAAUUACAGAUAAAAUAUCAAACUUUUAUCUUAUAUUUUAAAAUAGCCAUUUUGUUAUAUUAAGAAAAAACAUCUAGCUCUAUCUUGUUAUUUCUUUAUCACAAAGAAGAGAGAAGUGAAAUCCGUAUUUAAAAGGCUGUGGAACAUUGUGCAUUUAAAGUACUCAGCAAGUUAUUCCCUAAAGCACUCCAUAUGAUAUGUAAAUCUUUUGAUCUUUCACAAAAUGCAUGAAUACUAUAAAGAAUAAUGAGUACAAGCUUGGAAAAUACAAUAUUGACUGUCAAUGUAGUGCACUUAGCCACAAUUAUUAUUUGCGUGGCUUUUGCAACAUCACUGGAGGGGAUACUUCUGUGAAUAUGUUAAGUACAUGCCAGUGUCUACUAAAGAAGAUUUAAUUUUAUAAGAAAGACUUCUUUCUCCCUUUCCCCUUCCACUAGUUGUUCUUUUUUUUUUUUUUUUAAACCAUUUUCUCAAGAUAGAAAGAAUCUUUGGGAAAGGAUGGAAUUGACUAGAAUUUAAAAAGGGAAGCCCUGCUACCCCGUUGUUAUUAAUUACCAUAUGAUGGAUAAAAUAACUUGGCUUUGGAAAGUAUCACUCUAUGAUACCCUGCAGAAAGAAUAUUUAAGUCAUGGGAAGCUGUUCUUUAUAGAAAUCUUUAUUUAAAACCUAGUUCAGCGAUGUGACUGAAAUUUCUUCAAGUUUAGUUUAGAGAAUAGUUUAAUUGGCAUUUCUGAGCAUUUUAGAAAUUACCAAUUCUGUUUGAACUUGGUCAGCAGGAUUUAUUUGAAACAAACAAAUGAGCCACACUCUUUUUUUUGUUUUGUUUUAUGUAUCAGUUAAAAAUUUGAUGUUUGAAUUCACUUGGCUUUAGUCAAAGUAACGAGCUAUUUUGUUGUUGUGGCUAGCUGUGUUUACAAUAUGAUAAGACCUGGUUAAUUAAUCCAGUCCUAAGAAACGCAGCUUUGCUAGCUAGGGAAAAAUGACUCAUGGGUAGGAGCAAUACACCACAAAAUUUGGGAGUAGUUCAUGUAUGAGUGGGAAUAAAAAUUGAUGCCCAUGAAGACAUUUGUGAUCCCAAGAUAUUAGUGUCUCCAUCUACACUGAGACACGAAAACAAAGAAUUCCACUUGGAUGCCUAGCUGUAUUAGACCUUUCAAACUUCAGUUUUUAAGAGUAUAUGAAUAAAUUUUGAUUCUAAAAUUUGGGAGUACAAAGAACAGAGAAUAUCAAAUAGGAUUUUGAAAAAGAAGUACAAACUUGGAGGACUUUGCUACCUGAUUUUGUGACUUAUAAAGCUACCGUCAUCAAGAUAAUACGGCAUUGGCAUAUGAACGGAUAAAUAGGCAGUAGAACAGAAGAGAGCCCCAUGUUUACCAUCAUUUGGUAAAGGUACCUAAGUAAUCUGGCAGGGAAAGAAAAUCUUUUCAACAAAUGCUGCUGAAACAACUGGAUGCCCACAUGGGGGAAAAAAAUGAACCUUGAUCCUAUAUUACAUUAAACACAAAAAUCAAUUCAAGAUGGAUUACACACGUAAAUGUAAAAGCUAGAACUCAAAAGAUUUUUGAAGAAAGUAUUGGAUAGUAUUUUUGCAACCCGAGGGCAGGAAGGAGCUUCUUAGGACACAGAAAGCUUACAAAUGGCAGGUUGUGGGACUUCUCACUGUCUGUCAUCAUGGGAUAUCCAAUUCCUAUAAUAAAUCUAAUAUAAUAUAAUGUAUCUUAUUUUAUAUAUAUGUCCAGACAUUUAUGUGUUACAUAUGUAUAUAUGCGUGUAUGUUUAAAAUAUAUAUUUAAUAUAUAAAAUAUAUAUUACACUAUUUCAUACUACAGACACACACACACACCCACACACCCACAAAGAGAUUCUGUUGGAUCUCUUCCUCUGGGGAACCUGCACUAAUAGUAACCACUCUGAGUAACCACAUCUUCAGCAGGCAUGUUCUUUUGCUCAUUCAUUCCAUGAAUGUGCAUCAAACCCGCUAGGUGUCAAGUUCUAAAGUAGAUCUGAGAUCCUAAGAUGAUUGCAAAAUAAUUCCCACCUUCAAGGAAUUUGCGGUUAGUCUGGAAACACAGAACAUGAUGUAAACAAAUAAUCGUUCUACAGUGAGAUAACUACUAUAGAGGCAGAAGUGCAAAGCAUCGACAUGGUAUGAGGGAGGGUGUGACCAGCCCUGUCUAGAGAAAUGCAGGCAGGAUAGUCGAGAAGGGGAGAACAUGAGCUGGUUCAUGGGCCAACAAAGUGGAGUGGGCAUUCCUGGCGAUGCCAGUUAUGUGGGCAAUAUCAUCAUGCUGGAGAUACGAACACAUGCAGCUCACUUCAUCUGGAGCAAGGCUGGAAGCAAGAACUGCUUCCUGGACAAUGAUUGCAAAUGAGCACGUGGAAGGUUCCUGUGCCUGGUGAGAGCUCUGGGCUUUGCUCUAUUGGGAACUCCUAGGUUUCCUUUUCAUUUUUUUAAUGCUUAUUUACUUUUGAGAGAGACAGAGACAGAGACAGAGACAGAGAGAGAAUGCAAGUGGGGGAGAGAGAGAGGGAGACACAGAAUCCAAAGCAGGCUCCAGACCCUGAGCUGUCAGCACAGAGCCCUACGUGGGACUCGAACCCACAAACCGUGAGAUCAUGACCUGAGCUGAAGUCAGUCGCUUAACCGACUGAGCCCCCCGGGUGCCCCAGAAGCUCCUAGGUUUCUUAAGCAGAGGAUCAUCAGAGGGAGAAAUGUUCAUAUGAGACAGAUUACCCUGGGGGUGGGAUGAGAUUGACCUACAGGUGACACGCUGAUGAGCCUGGAUCCAGGGAGUCCAAUUCAGAAACUUAUAAAUGACUUGCGUGGAAAUAAGGGCAGACAAGCUGUCUUCAGGAGGAAGGGACAGGGUUGACACUUAAAGGGUAGAAUCAGCAAGAAUCAGUGUAGGAGGAGACCUGGGGGGGUGGUUGCUGAUGGAGAAGGAGGUGUGAAGGCUUCCCCCUAUGUUUCCGGCUUCGGUAAAUAAUGCUGCUCUUCACUAAAUAGGAAACAGGAGGAACACUUUUGAAGAGAGUUUUUGAAGCUGAGUUUUGGUUAUUUUCAGUUUGAAAUUUCUGUGGAGGGUACAGUUGGAAAUCGUCAACUGGCGGCUCUUUGUGCGGGUUAUAAGCGUGAAUGCAACCCCCCAGGGUGAGUAUGUACAUUAAUAAAAGAUUAAAGGUCAGAGUCCUUAGAAACACCAACAUGUAAGAGUGGGAUGGAUGGCAGGAGGUGUAGAAAACGGUCGGCUUGUAAAGAAGCUGCUUAGGAAGGAGCCGUGACCACAGAAACAAGGGGGCUGUGCACCAGCUAAAUCUGUGUUUGUGUCUGCAUCCUCUCUGUAGCUCUUGCCUCUUUCAGGUGCUUCCCCUUGAACCCAGGAGCACAUAGAACACUGGAAUAUUAGUCUUCAAGGCAGAAGCCACUUGACUGCGGUUUAGCUUCCAGGUGUAGUUGCCAUAAUCAUGAAAUUUCUGUUUUUUUAACAAGUCGGGUCACAAGACCCUGCAGCUGGAUCUCAUAACAGGGACACAGGGUCAGCAGCAAACACCAGUCCUUCGAGCAUCUGAGGACUUCUAUGACGGAUCCAUUCGCGUGCGGUGUUGCACCUAUGCACUGUCCUGACCCCAAAAUCGGAAAGGAAGAGAGACAGUUUAAGGGAUAUUUGUAUCGGGGCGCCUGGGUGGCUCAAUCGGUUGAGCAACUGACUUCAGCUCAGGUCACGAUCUCACUGUUUGUGAGUUCGAGCCCCGCAUCAGGCUCUGUCCUGGCACCUCAGAGCCUGGAGCCUGCUUCAGAUUCUGUCUCCCUCUAUCUCUGCCCGUCCCCCACUCGCGCUCUGUCUCUGUCUCUCAAAAAUAAAUAAACGUUAAAGAAAUUUCUUAAAGGAUAUUUGUAUCAAAUCACUUGGAUAUUUAGAAAGAUAAAAAUGGGUCUAUUGCGGGGCGCCUGGGUGGCUCAGUUGGUUGAGCAUCCGACUUCAGCUGGGGUCAUGAUCUCACCGUUCCAGGGUUCCAACCCUGCAUUGGGCUGUGUGCUGAGCACUUGCUCAGAGCUGGGAGCCUGCUUUGGAUUCUGGGUCUCCUUCUCUCUCUGCCCCACCCCCACUCGUGCGCUGUCUCACUGUCUCUCAAAAAUAAAUAAAUGUUAAGAAAAAAAUUAAAGAAAAACUGGAUCUAUUGCUACAACCUCAGGGAACAAGAAACCUUUCAUGCUGAUUUGUUCUGUUUCUUUAAAAAAUGCCUGGAACCCCUGGGUGGCUCAGUGGGUUAAGCGAUUAAGCGAUUAAGCGUCUGAUUUGGACUCAGGUCAUGAUCUCUUGGUUCAUGAGUUUGAACCCCACAUCGGGCUCUGUGCUGACUGCUCAGAGCCUGCAGCCUGCUUCAGAUUCUGUGCCUCCCUCUCUCUUUGCCCUUCCCCUACUCAUGUUCUGUCUCGUGCGCUCUCUCUCUCUCUCUCUCAAAAAUAAAUACACAUUGAAAAAAUUAAAAUAAAUAAAUUAAAAAUGCCUAAUUAUUGCAGCAAAUGGUACAUCAUAAGCUCUUUCUAGUAUUAGCAAGAAGAUGCAGAACACUUUCCUGAAGAAAAACAAAGAAAUCUUAUAUAUUUCUACAUAUCACAAUGUUUUCAGCAGUCAACUCUCUUUGGAGAAUAUGUCUUCUUAUUUUGAGUGACAGCUCAUAAUUAUACCAACAAAUACUACCACUCACCUCAGCACCCAAACAGAUGGAUACCCAGAUUCACCCACUGGAAGAUCAAAAAAACCAGGAUCCAAAUUUCUCUGUGUGUUUUUGUUUGUCUGUCUGCAUUUCUUUAUUUUUUAUUUUGUUAUUAUUAUUUGCUGUUGUUGAUGACUCUAUUGUCAUUUGAACCUGAAUUUAGAAGUCCUCAACAAAAAGGUAUGUUUAAAAAAACUAAAUUACUAAUCCUGGAUAAUUGAUCCUACUUUAAUUGAGACAAUGCCUAUAGUGUUAUUUAGAAAGAAUUACUUUACUCAGAUUCUACUUUGAAUGAGCCAUCUUCAAAAAAAGACCAGAUGAUGAAAAGUUGAGAGUAAGAGUUGUGAUUUAGACUUUGUCAAAGGUAACAUUCUGGAUGAGUCCAUGUUUUACUCACUCAAGCAGAACAAUUAAGAAAAAGUGAUAUUCCAGCUUGAAAGUAGUUACACUGUGAUCUAAUUUCAUCUUUUCUCACAUGUUUGAGAAGUUCAGUCGAUUUGGCAAUGGUUUUAGUUAGGGUAGAGGUUAAGUUGCUUUAACAAAGUAACCUUAAAUACAGCGUCUUUAAGGAAGGUAAUUCUAGGGAGAAUAUUCCAAAAUGGUGUGAAAGUUCUCCUCCAUAUGGUCUUUUAGGAACCUGUCUUGUUGGUCUACCAUCCCUUAGAGCAUUGUCCCUGUCUGUAUAAUGAAAGCCAGCUGUGAUAAUCAAAGUAUGGACAUGGUCACAAACAUGUCCCAGCUUAUGAUAAGGGGGAAGAGAGGUACACUGGGACUCAUGGUUUGUCUUUAAAGUGGAAGGUCCCAGGAGAUGUACACAUCCCAUUGACCUGAAUUUAGUCAUAUAGCCAUAUCCGGUUGCAAGGAAGGGUGAAAAUGGCCAUCCAGUCACCUAGUUUAAACUCUAGUGCUGGGGAAGGAAGGGAGAACAGCCCUUCCUUCAAAAGGAGAUUUUGACAGCCAGCCGGGAGUUUCCUGAUCUUUGUGGGACACAUUGAUAGAAACAUCACAUUGGCUGAGCUUGGAGGCACUAGCUUCAAAAGGCAGGACUUUGGCUCAAACAAUGGUUGAAUUGUACUAAAGAUCAUAUUGCAGAAUAAGGGAAAUGGAAUGCAUUCUAUUCCAAAUGGAUAUUUUUGGGAGAAGCAGCAAUGCAGAAAGAUAGUAAAAGGCCUAGAGCUUAAAUAAACACAUUUGAACAGGAGGUGAUGUGUUGCAAGACAAAUGAAAAUCAGUUGAUUUACCAGGGCUCUAUCCAAAUGAAAAUAAGGUCACCCCUGAUUCCGAGAAGUUCAUAUAGGAAAGGGAAAGAAUUCUAAUUAGGAUUAAGAACAUUAUCUCUCUCCAGAUGUGUGCAAGCAUAGAACACUAGUUUUGUCUAUGGCUAUACCUAUAAUUUUGCAAUAUGACUUUUUUUAAAGGAGGAGACAAUUUGGUAAACUGAUAACUAAUUUAGAUAAUGCUAAUUGUAUUGGGUGGAAGAUGAUUAGGAGAGUUAUAAAAGAAACCUCGAGUGUGCUCUGCAUGGGAUAUUAUUGAAAACAUGAAUAUUGUGUAAAGCUGUUAUCCCUUCUACAAAAGAGAGAUGAUUCCUGGAUGGGCUUGUAUUAUACAAAAUCAGAAGAGGAGGAGCUGGGGGCCGAGGUGGAGGGCAUAGUGGUUAUGCUGAUUUUAGUACAUUUUGGAAUCCCUCUUUAAUUCCCUUCUGUGAAUGGUGCCUGCUCAUAUGCUCACAUGGGACUUAACUGUAUAACAUCACCUGGCUUUAUAAUCACAAGCCAUACUUUGCGUGUGAGUUACCAGUACAAAUUUGCUUCCCUCUCAGUUAAAUGCAAAUAGUCUUGGUUAUUAAGCAAACCCUCUCUAGUUUAGCUAUGCACAUAAUUUGCUUCCUUAAAACAUUGUGGGACUUAUAUAUUCCUUCCUAUAAAUCGUUGCUAUCAUUGAAUCGGGUUUUGGAGGAGUCCAACAAACAUUUGGAGGAAACAGAUAUUUGCUUCCCAUGUUAAGUAGACAUAGUGUGCUAAUCUACACAACUGUGGUGUCCUGUGUAAAACCUGUCUGGUGUUAUUUGGAGUCAUCAUAUUUUCUUCAUGCCAUAUGAUAAUCAACAGGAAAGAUAUGGUAACUAUCGCACAAGCACUCAAUCAAGGAAGUAGAAUACCCUUUAUGGGGCAACAAACAUCUGUCCACCUCCGUGGGAAAGUUCAAGCAACCCCUCUGAGCUUGUUAUUUGCUGUCCUUCCCCUUCCCAGCUGUUGAUCUUCUCAGCCUUGCUCUGUGCCAUGGGAGGGUGACCCUUGUGGGCCACAUCUCCUGAGUUCCCUUGCUGGUGAACUUAUGUUUAGAUUUGGCCAAUAUUUGGAGAUCAGAGGGUGAGUGUAAAGGUUUCUGGUAGUUCUUCCUUGCUCCCUCCUCCCUUCCAUGCUCUAUUCAGGCAACGACGGAUUCUCCCCAGGCCCACGGCUUCCACUGGGAGAUUCUUCUUUGCUCUUUCGUCUCUCAUUGUGUUCCACUAACCUGAUCUCUUCUCCUUGUCCCUUCAGUUUAGAAGCGGUAACAGCUUCCCACUGUAGCUAGUUCCUUGGUACCUCACUAUCUGUCGUUGAUUCCCUCAGGGAAGCCCACACCUCCACAAGUAAUACUUUCUUAAAGUUUCUUCAUUGGAACCACUUGGGAUGAAUUCUGUUUCCCACCAUAACCAUGACCAGGAAGGUAGCUGAUAAGUCUUCGUGUUGAUCUGCAUUCGACAAAUUCUGGAAAGAGUCAUCCAUGUCUAUUCUCCUUUCUUUCUCUGUCUCUUGAAUUCAUUCCAAAAGUCAUUGCCCUUGUCACAGUCACCAAUUUUAACAAUGAUAAUCCUUGGCUCAGGUCUCAGUCCUCAUAUUAUUUGAUCUUUCAGUAGCACUGAACACAGCUGACCAUUCUCUCUUCAUUGAAUUUUUUCUUCGCUUGGCUUCCUGGACAUCAAACUCCACCAACUUUUCUAACACCUCAUUAGCCAGUCUUUCUCAGUCUCCUUUACCGUUCCAUCCUUUGUACGGAGCCUGGAUAGCUGCUUACCAAACAAGGUUUUUAUUUUUCAUGAAAACUUAGUUAGACUGCAUUUCUAAAUCUCCCUUAUAAUUUGAAGAAGCCACAGGUGCCACUUCUUGGUGUGAUCUUAAAAUCCCCCCGUGCACUAUCUUUCCCUUUCUCCUUGCAUGACGCGGAUGUUCAUGGUGACCUUGGAAACCAUAUGAAGAUAGAGGAACCACAAAAUGGAAGGAGAGCCACCACGAAUCACAACACUCAUUUUGGACUUCAUGUGAGUGAGGAAUAGACUUCUAUUAACCAUUCUUCAUUUCUGAUUUUGUUUGUUACAGCGGGUAGUCUUACCUGGACCAAUCUUAUCUCUUCAUUCCCUCAACACUGUGUCCAGGGCUCAGUCCUUGGAUCUCUUCUCUUAGGAUUUCAUCCAGUCUUGUGCCUCUAAAUGCCAUUCAUAUUUUUGUCAGUCAUCCUUACAGUUAUUCAGACUAAAAACUGUUCUCGAACCCCACAUCUGACCAGUUGAUAAAUCCUGCUGGCUUUACCUUCAAAAUAUAUCUAGCAUCAGGGUGUCUGGGUGCCUCGGUCAGUUGAGCGUCCUACUCUUGAUUUCAGCUCAGGAAAUGAUCUCACGGUUCAUGUUUUCGAGCCCCAUGUCGGGCUGUGCCCUGACGGUGUGGAGCCUGCUUAGGGUCCUCUCUCUUCCUCCCUCUCUGUCCCUCUCCCACUCUCUCUCUAUAUCAAAAAUAAAUAAAUAGGGGGUCCUGGGUGGCUCAGUCCAUUAAGUGUCUGACUUCAGCUCAGGUCAUGAUCUCACAGUUGGUGGGUUUGAGCCCCGCAACAGGCUCUGUGCUAAAUGCUUGCUCAGAGCCUGGAAUCUGCUUCAGAUUCUGUGUCUCCUCUCUCUGCCCCUCCUCUGCUCAUGCUCUGUCUCAUUCUGUCUCUCAAAAAUAAAUAAAUGUAAAUUUAAAAAAUUAAAAAUAAAUAAAUGAAUGAAUGAAUAAAUAAAUAAAUAAACAUAAAAUAUAUACAUAGAGGGAGAGAGUCUGUUCCCUUCUCACCAUCUCCACUGGUCUAAUAGCUACACUUGGAAUAUCGCAACAGCUUCUUACUGAUCUUCCUGCUUCUGCCCUUGCCCUUUCUAAUCUGUCCUUAACCUAGUCAACAAAAUGACUCAGUUAGAAUGAAAGUCAGAUCAUGUCACUCCUUUGUUCAAAACCUUUGGCUUUGCAUCCCACUCUCUGGAGACACAGGAGUUCUUACAAUGGCUUCCAAGUUGUUACAUGAGGAGCCCGUUACUUCUUUGACUUCAUUUCCUACAGUUCUCCAUCCCAACAUUCCUGCUGUGCUGGCGUCUUCACUGCUCCUCUUGCACACUCCCACCUCAAAGCCUCUUUUCUUCUGGUUUCAGUCCCCAGAUGGCCCCAGGGUCUCCACCCAUCACCUUCUUGACUCAAAUAUCACCUUGUCAGUGAAUUUCCCAUGACUACCCGUUUAAAUGGUGCCCCGUCCACACAUGCUUAUUUCUCUCCUCUCCUCUUCCGUCUUUCUCCAUAACAGUUAUCACCAUCAUGCUUACAAUUCAUUUGAUUAAGUUGUCUUAUUUCUUGCGGUGCCCGGAUGGCUCAGUCAGUUGGGCCAUGAUCUCACCGCUCAUGGGUUCGAGCCCCACAUCGGGCUUUGCGCUGACAGCUCAGAGCCUGGAGCCUGCUUCGGAUUCUGUGUCUCCCUCUCUCUCUGCCCCUCCCCUGCUCAUGCUCUGUCUCCGUCUCAAAAAUAAAUAAACAUUAAAAAAUUUUUUUAAUUGUCUUAUUUCUUUGGCCUGCCCUCCCUAGGAUUUAGCUCAAUGCAGGCAAGGAUUUUUGUUUGUUUUCCUCCUUGCUGUAUUUCAGCCCCUAGAACCGGGCCCGGCACUCAUGAGUGUUCAAGAAAUAUUUAUGGGAUGAAUGAAUGGGUGAAUGAAUGAAUUUUCUGCACAGACAGGAAUAUACAAGUUUUAAAGUGUUUCUUAAAAAACAGACCAUAAGCGAAAGAAAGAAGAAACGAAAGGGAAAGACAGCGAUAGCUUCAUACACUUAACAGAAAAUAUUCUGCACCAUUACCAGCAGCAUUUUCACAGCCCUCAACAUUGAAUCCAUCCCAAUAACCAUGCUGACAGAACCCUCCAUAGAAGAUUGGGGUCCUACGAUCAGCAUUCCGAGAAUCCAUGCCAAGCAGGCACUUGAAGCUAGCGUUGUUACAUUUAACAUAACAAUGUGUCAAACCACAUGUGUUUUUAUUUUACAUAAUAUUACCAAAUGGUUAUGAUUUUAACACGUUUUUAAAAUGCAUUUAUAUUUCUCUCUGUAAAAAACUAUUCAGGAUACGUGAUUUGGAAAAAGCAGAAAAUAGUAAAGGAACAAAGAGUGAAAGACAUAGAAAGCUAGAAAGAGAGGAACAACCACAGUCACAAACGUAUACAGUUGACCUACUGGUUGACCGGACAUCUUUUUCUCUACACUUUUUUUAAGUGAUCUCUCUGCCCAAUAUGGGUUUCGAACUCAUGAUCCCAAGAUCGGGAGUCGCAGGCUCUACCAACCAGCCAGGUGCCCCUUUUUUUCUCAACUUAAAAAAAAAAGUAAUCUCUGAAUGACCUUAACAACCUGAGUACAUUAGCGUGAACCUCAGUGCACAUAACAUGAAUCACUUCUCAAAUGCUGAACGGAGGCUGCUCUUGUUUCUUGCUGCACACACUUGGCAAUCCGGUCACAUGAUCAUAAUUAUCCUGUCAUCAGCAGCAUUUAAUGACAGACAGGGCCAUUCAGACGUUAUACCCAGCCCCGUGUGCAGAUUUCAGUUCCCCGUUUUUCUCAAUGUGAAAUAGCAAUUCCAUUUACGUAGCAGUAAUGAACCAUUUUUUUUAGUGAAAAACCAGGAGAGAUUAAAAACGGUUUUGGCCUUGCCUGUGAGUAAUGAUGUCAAAUGAUGUAGUGGGGUAAUUAUUGUGAAGACUUAAUUCCUGUGUCAUCAUGUAUUUAUAGAUAUACAAAGCAUUCUACUGAUUAAACAGCAUUCAAGGUGACUAAACAUUCGCCGUGAUUGACAGUUUACAGCUCAGACUAAAAAGAUUAAAUAACAUUAGAAAGUGGCAGGUGACUUCUUUCCCCUCGGGGCCUUGUGCCCUGUGAGGAAACGAUUGAAACUUCUAAUAAUAUUGCUAACAAGAAAGUUCUGAACUGUUUGCUUGCAGCAGUCAUAUUCUGAGAAGGAAUGCAAAUCCUGUUAUGCAACGUUUUCAUCUUGGUGCGGUUGCAGUGGCCAUAAAAGUUAGAUAUAAGGUAAAGCGAAGUAUACCUUCCCUUGAGACUUAAAAUGCCCUGAAACACGUCCAACUUCUAGGGGCAGAUAAUGUUUCAAAGCUGCUGGCCAAGAUCAAUUUGUCUUCUAUCUGAUACAUUCUUUCUCAGAAAUCCAGCCAAGAUUAUCCCAAAUUCAGUUAUUCAGAAUUUCAGGUAACCAACAUGGCUUCUCUCUAAAAUGUCCCCCGUAGCCGAGGCUUCAGUAACAUCACGAUUCCUAAUUACAUAUCUAUGCAUACCUUACCUCAGCCUCUAUCCUUUUUUCUUUCCAGAAGGUUCAGAAGAGAUUUUUUUUUUUUUUUACCGUCUCCUUUUCAAGCUGGAUAAUGCUACUUCCUACAAAAUCAUAAUCACCCCUUACAUGCUUGUGGUUCUUUGAACUUUAUGAAAUGUUUCUUUCUUUCUCUUUUAUCUCAUGGGAAUAAUAGUACCUAUGCACGGGGUUAUCAUGAGAACCAGAUGAAAGAAUGCAUGUGAAGUGAUUAGCACAGUGCUGGCCCAUAGCAUUUGCCAAAUAAUUGUAAACCAUUUUAAUGAAUUAAUUUACUAUAUUUCAUCCUUACGAUAGCCUCACAAAUUAGGUAAAAUGCGCAGUAUUAUUUUUGUUCAAUGGGUGCCUUUGAAUCUGAGGCAUGAAGGUUGAGUAACUUUCAGAGAUUUGGGGGGAUCUGAGUCAAAAUUGGAAUCCAAACCUGCUGGUUUCCAACCUCACAUUUGCUCCCUAGAGUCUCCUAGAGCACAUGAUUGUUCUGGGGUGAGAGAUGGCCCUCAGUCCUCCACAUCUUAUCCCUUUGGGCAUUAUAACUGUCACUAAUGUUCCCAGCUGUGCCCAUCUCAUUGCUCUUCUAUGAAGACUGCAUUUUGUGCCCAUUAAGAGAGCAUAAUCUUUGCUCCCUGACAGACCUGGGUUUGAAUCCUGGUUCUGGCUCUUAAUAGCCGUGUAUGAAAUGAACAUAGGUUUCUUGUGAGGACUAAAGAAAGUAAGAUAUUGCCUACAUAGUACCUGGUGCAUGGAAAGCACUCAACAAAUUUUCGUUGUUAUUAUUAUGAUUGCUAGAUAAACUCCAGAGCCGCACUGCUGUACCUGCUGCCAUAGCCACGUCUCCACACCAGCUGUCUCCUUGGGUUCCGGCCAACCUGGCUCUUGGCCUCAAUACUCCACUGAAACUACAGCUCUCCUUGUCAAUAAAUACCUCCUUCUGACCAAUCCAGGACCUCUCUCCUUGCUCAGGGCACUGCGGACUCAUCCCUCUCCACUGGAGGCUUUUCAGUCUUGGCAUCAGCGUGCCCCAUCCUGGUGAUUUUCCUCAGACAUGGCUCCCUCUUCUUCUCAUCGCACCACUUCCCUCAUCCCACCCUUUUGAGCUCUGCUUACUCCUGCAGACAAAGUCGUGGACUCACUCUUCUCUUCUUCAACUGUACCCUACAAAGAUCAUGGUUAUAUUUACCUCUCCAUAUGCAUCACCUUGCAUUAUUCACCAUCUCUGCUUCCAGAACCAUUAAUUGGUUUAUUCCCAUAAAUGGUGUAACCCCAUAUAUGGUUAUAUAUAUAGUUAUAUAUAUAAUUUGUUUUCUACAUCUCUAAAGGCUUGGUGAGAACUCUCGAAGGAACGUGAUUACAAGUGUUGGCAGGAAGCCAAAGGGAAAAUGCCUAAGUAUCAUCUGCAUCUUCUUAACUACGCUUUACAAACCUUCAGAGGUGCAAUCAUGAAACUCGCAUGAGUCUCAGCCCUUCAGUGAGGGUGUCCAGUAGCAAUAUAAGGAAUUUUCUCACCACCUCCUUUCCAUGCAACGUCUUAGCAAUCUCUUAAAAGGUUAGAAGUUUCUGAAUGAACAAGGAAUAUCUCCCAACACUGGUAUCCCAUUCGGAGUCUUGUUAAGGUGGCAGUUGAAACUCAGAAAUGCUCUGGCGCUGUUGGGUACCCCUGGAACAAGUGAGCCUUGGGCAUCCUGUUUGAGUAGCCACUUCUGCUGCCACCGUCUCGACACACAGGAUAUAGUUAUUAUAACUUGCUCCAUGCAGUCAUAUGGUGCUGAAAAGCCCUCUAAAGUCUUGGAAUACCCCCCGCUCUCGUAGUCUCCUUCACACCUGUGUGCCACGAUGUAUUCCGCUGCGCAAUUGUCACUGCUCUAUCACGUGUCAUUGAUCAGGGUGUUGUCGUUGGCCCCCAGGUGGGCUAAACACCUUGUUCCAAUGACACUGAGAUACAGCAAAACCAGGGCCAUAGACCCAAAGCGGUUCUAACAAGGAAGAAAUUUGGGGGUCAAGGGUGGGAGCUCUGAAGCCUCUUUCUUCUUCUCCGGUGUGGUGCCUGGAGAGACCCUAAGUAUGGUUAUGGACACGCAUGUCAGUGCCCUUUUACCUAGAAAAUAGGAAACGAAUUCCAAACAAUACUGGAAACAGCUGACCCUUUUAGCACAAUGCUUAAAUAUGCUAGUGCUGAGCCAAGGCAGCAUGUGCAGAGUAAAUAUUUUAAUCCCUAAUUAAUCACUUUGGUUAGAUUGGUAAAACACAAGUCUAAUGAAAAUAAUUUGAAAUUUCCUUCAUGAAUAAUUGCCUUGUUCGGGGAAUUGUGGGAAGAGUCAACUGACUGACCUUCCAUUCUUACUCAGCUGUACUGCUCUGAGACUUAAUUUGCGUCCUUCAACCUCUUCCAGUCACCGUCAUGAGAUUAGAAAUACCUUCCGUGCAGUUUAGCAGCAAGUAUGUAAUAUGACGGUUAAGUCAGCGGAGAGGUAGAAAACCGAGUGACUCCUGGCUUUCUCGCCAUGGAGCUCACAGUAUCCUGUCGAGGGGCGAGUGUCUUUGCAACCCCGCAUUCUUUUAUUAGGUUGUGAGCAUGAUGGAUUGCUCCAGGUUAUUGAACUGUUCAUGUUCCUUUUUAAUUAAAAACUUGAAUAAUAAGGUGCCCAGGGUUUGGGCAUUUACAAAGGGGAGAGAAAGAAUUUUCCAACUCUGAGUGCUGAUGAAUGCUAUUCUGAUUAGCACUGUGCCACCAGAUUUAAUUACUUCUUUGAGUAAAUCAAAUUUUUCUUACAGAGCAAUGUCCCCGGGUGUGCAAAGACCAAAGGUUAAGCCACCUUACUAGUUACCUGUUCAGACAUGUUGGAACCUGUUAGACGUGGGUUGCGAGCGUGCUCUGUUCCAUCUUUAUUCUAUCUUGCCUGCCUGCCUGUUCUCCUUAACUUCCUCCCCAGUGUUCCUCAACCCCCUUCCAGCAAUGAAUGUAUUGCUUAUCUGGUUGGAAUGUCACUAGGAGUGAUGACUGGCAACGUGCCCUGUGGCUGGUGCACUCUGGCUCACACUGCAAUCAUUGCUAAAAAUUGCCUGGUCCACCAGUCAGUUUGGCCAGUUCUGUGGACUGUCAAGGUCCACCUGGUGGACCAUCUGCCGCCUCUCCCUGGAGGUUCCUCCUCUCUUUUGUUUUCCAGUCUGGUCCUCCUCCUCCAUCUUGCUCUUUUAUUUGGGAGAUUCAAAUAUUGGGGGGAAUUUUUCUUUUGCUUCUCAGCAAUCGGGAGGAAAUGAUGUUCUUGGGUUGUUGGAAUGCAUUUGGAUUAGUAACACCUUAACUCUUUGCUGUCCUGCAGUUGCCUUGCAAAAUGACCGAUAACUGGCUCAAGAAGCUUGGUUAUAAAGCAGAAAAAUACCACUCAAGUGGAGAAGCCUAGAGGCAGGCAACUUGUAACCCAGGUGAUAACUGAACCAAAUUUUGGAGCAGAUUUGGUAUCUCUAUUCAAAAUGGAGUUAACUACAUCCAGUGCCAAAAAUGGGAAGUCUUCCCAUUUUUACAGGAUCAGAGGCAGAGAGAAUUAGGAGCCAGAUCAUUGGUUUUCAAUAUGUUUUCACCAUUGUGGGUGUGUGGCGACAUAACUAUGCAUCCAACAGCAUGAUAUAUAGUUGGGCAUGACUAGUUGAAUGUACUGUUGUCCUAAUGAACAUCUUUAAAAAUAGCUCUACAGAACUCCUCCCCAGAGCUCCUGGUGCCAGACCUCUGAAUCAAAGAGUUGACAGCAACAAGUCUAAUUCAGGGGUAAAUGGAAGAAAGAGGACCCUGGGCUGCAAAAGGCAAAGUUUGAUGGCUUUAUCAUUAUGCCCAGGUUGGGUCCUGCUGAUGACAUCUAUAGAAUGCUUGCUCUUCCUCACCAGGAAAUGUGUGCUAGGAAAAGAGCAAGAGUGAUCGCUCAUUCUUCCAGAGCUCGCCUCUGCAGCUGGACCACCUUUCAUCCCGGCCACACUGCCCUGAGCUCUCCAUAAAGCAGACCUAGCACUGGUUUUGCAAUGGCCUGUCUGCACUUUUGCUUUUCUGACUGAUUUGAGUCAGCGCAGAACAUUCAUAGACCCCAUAAUGUGAAUACAAAAAUGUGCUUUGUGGUUGCCUGACUCUGCGCUUCUAGAGUCACUGGAUAGGAUUUGAACUCUGGUAGUGCCCUCCCCCACCUCGAAACUUAACCCUGCACUGGAACGUGCUCUAUCCAUUUCCUGAGGGUCCUUGUUUAUAAGUAUUACAUUCAUUCCGUAAUGUUAAGUGAGCACCUACAAGUACUACGCUGGGCACUGCCCUAAUUAAAUGUAGCCCCUGCUCUACUGAAGUUUUUCUUAAUACCACAGUUUAAUUCCUUCUUCCUGCCUCUUCAGUUGUUUUGAGAUCUGCCAUUCUGUUACUAGUUAUCUGGCCAUUCAUACAUUUCUGCCUUCCCUCCAACACUGCUUCCUUUAAAGACUUCUGAUGGCUGAAUUUGCAAACACAGUGAAACUGAGACUACAUUGGACCCCUUGGCAGAAAUGGAUAUGGAUAUAUGAAUAGAUGGAUAGAUGGAUGGACAGAGACAGAGAGAGAAAUAGAUAGUGAUAGAUAUAUCUUUUGGUGUGAGCUAUUAUAUAGCACUAAAGCAUUAAAUUGGCAGAGAUGUAAGAGGUCUUAAAGUUCUUCUCUCAUAGAAGUUCACAGGCUUCAGUGACUUGCUCAAGGUCAUGGCUAACUGUUUUUAAGUUGAGACUAGAAAACUGGCUUCUGACUCCUAGUCAUUGUUUUUUCCAACACACAGUAAUUUAUAUAUAUGAUGUAAUUCGGGGUCUAUGCUUGAUUACGUCUGCCAUCCAGUCAGUAAGAAAUAGGUGAACUACCAAGAAGGUUCAAAAAUUUCAAUAAUAACAAUAAAGUAUUUAUGAAGCCUAUUGAUUUCAGCACGCCCAAAUUAUAUUCACAAAAUGUUGGAACUGUUCACUGCUGUUUCCUCGAGAUACUUAUUCCCACCAACUUAGUCCAAAACUUGACUAACAUCAGCACAAACAUGACUAUCAUCCCCAGACCUUCCUGUCUCUUCUCCUACCCUGUUGUAAUUACUUUGGCGGUGCUUCUUCACCAGCUGAGUGGGUGCAUUAAGGCUGAAUACCUUACAGUGACAGCACUACCCUACUGGACUGGGUAAACUCUGGAUCAGAGUUUGGAGGCCAAGAGGAGAGUCUUUCUCGUCCCCUCACCCUCUUGUAAUGACGCUUCCGGAAAGAACACGGACUUUUCUCUUUUAAUAAGGAUUCCUGGUUUCCGGAAAUGAGCCCAUCAAACCUGAAGCAAACAAGACUCGCGUUUGGGGGCAGAUAUCUCAUUCACAGAAGAUUCCUUUUCUUUAUUCAAAUCUUAAAGACAGUGUCUUAUUGAUAUGCUGCUUACUCUUUAUCCACACGUUAUUGACAAAAGUCAAUAUUUUCCUUUAUUAAUAUUUUUUAAAAGUACAACCAUGAGCUCUGAAAAGGAUCACAUACUGAAAACCUCAAACAGCGUGGGUCUGUGAGAUCCGGAUGCCAGUAACAAAAUGAAGCACACAGCCCAGGCCCUUCAGGCAUGCACCCCACUUUUCUUUUCUUUUUUUUAAGCCAUUGUGAGAAGGCAUAAUUGGGGGGUGUGCAGUCAAGGAAGGAUAUGCUGUCAAAGUCAAGGGGGUUGAGAGUAUGGACUGCGAAACAAAGGGCAGAUCAGAUGGCAGGGCGUUUGAGGAGAUAGAAGACCACUCUUCAGAGUUAAGCCCCCCAGCUCUGUCAUUGCUACAGAAAAUGGUAAAACUCUGCUUCUUUAUCCUCAGAGCCACUGCUGGUGGGGCUGGCCUCAUGGGCUUUCCCACCCUGGGCCCACGUGUAUCCCCUCUGGUCCAUGACAGUGCCCUUGAGAAUAUAAUUUCAUUUGGAAAGGUCUGAGGAGAGGAGGUAACGCCACACCCUUGUACUUGUCUUACCCUCAAUGCAAAUGGCACUUAUAGGGAGGCAGGCUCGCACUCAGUAUGAAUAAGAACAUUUUAACAAUUAGUAAAGAUCAGUCAGCUGAGGCGUACAAUGAACUCGCUGGCAUUGGAAGUAAGAGGCUUACAGACUAUCUUUCAAGGAUUCGGAAAGGGGGUUCCUGUUUUGAAUGGCAAGUUGGAUUAGGAAACUGAAAAUUCAUAUAACCCAAAGGGUUGUGGCUCCCUGAAUAUUUUUACUCGAACAUAACUCUGUGUCAUAGAGGCUUAAUGAAUAUUAUUUAAUUCCAUUUCCAAAUUGGCUCGUUAGUGUGCAAAAGGCUGAGGGCAAGGCCAGAAUAGGCCACCGCUUUGGGGACUGGGUUUCAGGGGCCCAGGGAAGGCUCCACUGAUUAGAAACACACACAAUUACAGCCUCACUCCUUCGCUGAAGGCUCUGUCCCCUAGUCUAUGGCGGCCGAUCUGGGAGAAGCAACGCUGGGUUCCCAGUCUUCUGGUACAGACACACUGAAGCAUAAUGAUUGCAGGGGUGUGCGAUUAAGAGAACAAGCUUGGUGAUGAGACUCCCUGGGUUGGAAUCCCUGUGUGAAUUUCACAAUCCCCUAGCCUCCUCCGUAGAAUAGAAAUAAGAAUAUGCCCGUCUAUAGGGUUGUUACAAGCAUUAAGUAAUAAUACAUGUAAAAUGCUUAGACCAGUGCCUGGCAGAAAGUCAAACAUCAAGAAAUGCUAGCUAUUAUGUGCUCGUUGGUUUGAAGGGUUUGAUCAGACUCUCUUUGAGAGUAACUCUGGCUCUGCGUAGGUGAAGGGCAAGGAAAGUAAGGGAGGCGGCUCUUUGAAGGGCUCCAGACGAAAACCAAGGGGGAAGAAGAUUAAAGAAAGCUGAGACGGAGAGUACGAGAGAAACAUCUUUGCGGCCUAGCCCCUGGAGGUCCAGCCCUGCUCGGCUUCCUGAGUUUCCAUUUUGAUUCAUAAAUCCCAGAGACAAAGUUUUGAGAACCCAGUUGCCUAUCAACUCAUCAGACUUGAAACGCAUGGGAGACCCACCAGUUUUUUUCAGACUGUAAGCUUUUUCCCUCCCAAGUAAAAAAGUCCAGAGAGAAUCAAAGAUCCCCCCUCCCCCAACAGAUCACAUUUACCAUAGGGCCUAAUCUACUUCUGGGAAAACCAUCCACAGGGUUUAAUUAAGUUCUUCUAGGGACCAUGAGCCUAGAGGGGCUGCACACAUAGGGGGAGAAGCAGCCUGACGGCUGUGGGUCUUUCACUAGCUUCUUUCUCAGGGGGAAGUCAGGGCAAGCACUGCAACUCUCGCCUUCCUCGCGCAUGGGGCCCAGGCCACGGUCCGGACGAGGACGAGGUUCUCCAAGCCUCCUUCCGUAGCUGUUUUAACAACACGGGACAUUCCCCCCACCCCCACCCCAGGCCACCUGCUGCUCACGUGCGGUUUAAAAAUUAACUUAGAAAUACAUGAGAUCAGCGGAACAAGGGCAUUAGACGGUGUCCCCCAGAAAUGGACCUCUUGUGCUCCAAAAAUGUUCUUAGAAACACAUGUGAGUUUCUUUGCUCUCAAAUUAAGGAGGAUUAAAGCAGCCAGACAGCUGUUGCUCAGUUCCUGGGAUCAUGUGGCCAAGGCUGAAAGCCUUAAUUUGCUGGCAUGAGCCUAAGUCAGUUGCCUGAUCUCCAAAUUAAUUUUUGAAUUAAAUGAUUGUACCCCCCUUCCUUUUUUUUCUUCUAAUUGAGACUUCCAUUGAAAAAUGCUUAGCAAACAGUUGGAAAACCCCAGAACAAAAGGCUGUUGUAAAAUCAUGAAAUGGAGGUCAUUGGAAACAGUUUUAGGUUAGCACUGGAGAUGCGAUUAAAUCUUUUUUUUAAUCAUAUUUUUAUUAACUAUAAAAAUAUUUAGAAAUAAAUUUCAAGCACUGAAGUUAGGUCCUAAAGGGUGGUUGAAAAGAGCUUAGAUCAUUUCAUAGAGUUCGUUUGUGUGAGCUUUACCCAAAGACUCAGAGCAAAAGGUCUGAGGCACAGUGGCUUCGUGUUUAAUUUUAAAACAACAAUGAUGUUAUCCUAUAGAUCUUAAUGCUUUAAUGACUGAACGCUUUUAAAAUGUUUCUAUAAGGUAAAAUUAAAAGAAAGAUGAUUUUAUAAUCCCCAAAUGAAAAAGAUCCACAGUGAAGACAGACAAGGGUUUGAAAAAGGAAGUGGUAUUCUGAAAGUACAGGUUUAUUUAAAAAAAAAAAAAAAAAGACAAAUGCUAACUUUUAGGCUCUGCAAAGAUUUCAAUUAUGCUGAAGGCUUAGGUACAAAAUAUUCAAUGGAAACUUCACGCUGAAAAAAAUACAGUAUUGUGUACUUAAGCAUAUUUCAAAACCUUAAAAAGUCAACUUGAUCAAUAAACACAGUCUGAAACAGUAAUUGUUGGCUGACAAUGAAAUAAAGUUUACCCAGUGAAAUAUAUUUAGAUCAGCCUUCUUUCAUCAAGCCCAUGAUAGGACUCUGUGUGUGAAGAAUUUGGGGCUUUACAGUUCUAUAUCCCUGAAGACGUCUUUAUGAAUAAGAAAAGGUAAAGGAGUGGGCAUGGACAAAUACUCUGACUUAGGUGCUGGGAGGUCUUCCUGCGGCUCAGUGAGUUAUAAGAAACUUCUCAGAGCUCUUCAAAUACAGCUAUUACACCCAUGUAGGGUUGAGUCAUAACAUCUUUAUUAAAGGAGGGUCAUGGGUGGGGGUGGGAAAGGACACGUCCCUGGAACAGCAAUUAAAAACCAGCUGCUACCUAGACAUGGCUCUUUCAAGUUUCUUUCAUCUUUGGCUCUGAAAUGUUGACUACAGACUCCUUUGUGAUUAACUUGUAUGCAAACUCCAAUAGAUCCUUAAUGGUUAACCACACUGAAGUUCUCUCUUUGCGGGUCUAGCUGCAGGCAUGAUUCGGUACCUGUUCUCCUUGCUCGCAGAAGAUGACACAAGAGAACCUGAGGUGGCUGGAGAUAUAAGAGAGUAGUCAGUUGCUCCAAAUGAGUUUGCUAGUGUCUUGACUUUUAUUCGUUCUUUCAAAAAAUACUUACUGUGCACCUAUCAUUGCCUGGCACUGUUCUAGAUGUUGGGGGUGCAUUAGUGAACAAAGCAGACAGAAAUCCUGCCCUCCUGGAGUUCCCAUUCUAGUGGGAGUGGGGAGAACAGACAAUAAGCAAAUAAUUAUGUCAGAAAGUGCUAAGUGCUAUGGAGAAGAGUAAAGCAGGGAAGGGCAGGAGGGAUACUACAGGGAGAGAGAGGCAAUUUUGAAUAAGAAAGUCAGGAAAGGCUCACUGAGAAGUGAAUCUUCAGCAAAGGAACAUGGGAGGCAUCUCUGUAGACAUGGGGGUGAGAGCUGUCUGGACAAAGACAGGGGCCAAGACCCUGCAGCGCCUACUAUGCCCUAGGGGGUAGCGAGAAAGAAUCAGAAUUUAAAAAGGUCUGAAUGGACCAACCCAAACAAGAUAGAAUUUAACAGGAGUGGACAAGGGGUUAGGGGUGGUAGAUGAGGUUAGAGAGGGGUUCAUUUUGUAUAAGGUCUUAACGGUUAUUGUGGGGACAUUUUCAGGUCCCCUGGGGGAAAGAGUACAGAUUGCUCAACCACUAUUGACGAUCUAGGAGAUAAAAUAGAAAAUGGAAGAGGAAGAAAAAGCCAAAGAUGCGAAAUGUCUGAUAUUCAGAAAGUAAAAAUAAUUGGAUUCUUUCUAGAAGUAAAUUAUAGACCAGGAGUUGACUUUUAAUGUAAAGGAUCAGGUAGUAAAUAAUUUAGGCUUUUCAGGCCAUCUGGUUUUUGUCACAACAGCUUAACUCUACCCUUGUUGCAUAAAAGCAGCCAUAGGCAACACAGAAAUGAAUGAGUAUGUAUUCAAUAAAACUUUAUUUACGGUAACAAACAAUGGGCAGCAUUUGGCCUAUAGACUGUAGUUGGCCAACCUGUGCGUAUAGCCCAAUGAUCGUGGGGAGUUCAGAUAAGAAAGCAAAGGAUCAUAGUAGUCUUCCUUUUAUUUUAUUUUAUUUUUUAUGGGACCAUCCAUCUAUUUGGAUAAAUCAAAUAGGGUUAAGGGUAUGGACCAGGACGCUUGACAAAUUCUUCUCUUAUUUUCUUGUGAGCAAGAUGGAGAAAUUAUCUUGGAUUCAAGAACAAUCCGUUAGUAACUGGCUAAAUAGCCCCAGAAAAGAGAGCUGUAUCAUCAGCCUCAAUAAAGUUUAUAGGUUAAAAAAAAAAGCUGGGGCGAGGUGGGGUGUGCUAUACCAUCCGGGGCCUGUGGAAACUCAAAUCCAUUUCUUCCUCUUCUGCUCCUCCGCUUUAUCACACAGGAGCUCUGUUUCCCAAGCUGGGAAGAAGGCUUCCAGCUGGGUUAGGCCAAUGGCAGGAAUGAAGAAGUUGGAUACUUCUCCCCCCUCACCUCUGUGACUUGGGUGGCGGUUAUGACAGGGUAGGAGUCCCUGGGCCCACCUUUCACUGCUCUGUGGCUCCUACUGACCCUCCCCCGUUGGGUACUCCAGCCUGUGCGUGACAAUGGCUUCCUGCCAUCACUACACCCGUUUGCUUUAUUGCUCUCUGGUUGACUUCUCCCGUCUUCCAUUGUCCAUCAAACAACUCCCCUGUGUUAGAUUCUCUCCCUCUUAAACACUCAGGGUGGUUUCUGUUUUUCCUGGUUGGACCCUGACUAAUAGGGCAGCUAACCUAUGAAUGUCACUCUAGAGGAAGGUUUAGACUGGUGCUUCCAGGCUCUCCUCUUGCUCUCACCGUUUUUAUCAAUAACUCAGCUGAUGAUGUAGCAGGUAUGCUAAUCACAUUUGCAAAUGGCCUGGAGCUGGCUGGAAAAGCUAUUUGCUGGAAGGCAGGCUCGGAAUCUAAAAAUAUCUCCGUGGGCCAAAUCUAACAAAAAGGAAUGUAAUAAGAAAAAAAAAAAAAAAGUGAAGUCUUGCACUUGGGUCCCCAAAUCAAGUAUGGGAUGGGGAAAUGGUGACAUAAUAGCCCAAGUGCUUCAGGGAUUUGGACUGACAUCAAAAUGAGGCAAAAUCUACCAAAAGAAAAAAAUUAAAAAGCCACAGGGAACACUGGUUGCAUUAAUACUUUUGUACAGAGGAAAAGGGAGUUAACUAGACUGUUCUGUACUCUAUGGGUCAGACCACUCUUAAGGGUGCUGCAUUCAGCUGGGGCACAGCAUUGAAACAUACUACUGGUAAAGUAGUUUGAGGCACAGGAGAAUGACAGAAUAUUAAAAGAAAGUGGAAGCUAUUGAAGGAAACUAGAAAGAAGCAGUCAGAGAGAUGUGUAGGAAGAAAACAUUUCCAUGUCUGAAAGAUUACCAGGCCAGCAGUGGUUGUAUGGAACGAACUCAUUAGCCGGCACCUCUUGCUUCAAACGGCAGGAUUUGGGUGCUCUCCUUCCUUGGCACAGCCUACCAUCUUAUAUAUUCAUAUCAGGAAACUUUUCCUUAUGCCUACCCCGACGUUAUCUUGCUCUAGUGAAAGUCCCGAGGCAGUCAUCUUUGAAAUGAGAGCUUAAUUUUUCGUUUAAUCAAUGGCUCAGGAAUCCGACUUGUUCUAAUUCUAGGCACUGACUCUUUUGUGACCCUGGAUAACUCACUCCUUAAUUGCCUCCGUUUCCUCACCAAAAAAGAAGCUGCCAAGGAGGCUCCGUUGUGCAUUUAGGAAACACCGGGCUUCCAGAGCUUAGUAAAGUUUGGUGUUUUGUUGGUUUUGCUUUGUUUUGUUUUCCCCUUUUCCCGCUUCUUACUGUUUACGUGUUUUGUAGGAAUCAGAAGCACCAACAUCCCAGGGUUUCUAUGCAGAUGUGAUGAAAAGAAAUGAAUACUACAAACUCGGACAAAGGAAAGACUGGCUGCCUGGAUACUCCAUGCAGGGGUUAACACUGCCUCCCAGGAACAAGUGUCGUUGUCGUCAGGUUACCAUAGGUCUGU
rnacentral:lncRNA from 1 species